rnacentral:rRNA from 1 species
AACGAACGCUGGCGGCAUGCCUAACACAUGCAAGUCGAACGAGACCUUCGGGUCUAGUGGCGCACGGGUGCGUAACGCGUGGGAACCUGCCCUUAGGUUCGGAAUAACUCCCCGAAAGGGGUGCUAAUACCGGAUAAUGUCUUCGGACCAAAGAUUUAUCGCCUUUGGAUGGGCCCGCGUUGGAUUAGCUAGUUGGUAGGGUAAAAGCCUACCAAGGCGACGAUCCAUAGCUGGUCUGAGAGGAUGAUCAGCCACACUGGGACUGAGACACGGCCCAGACUCCUACGGGAGGCAGCAGUGGGGAAUAUUGGACAAUGGGCGGAAGCCUGAUCCAGCAAUGCCGCGUGAGUGAUGAAGGCCUUAGGGUUGUAAAGCUCCUUUACCCGGGAUGAUAAUGACAGUACCGGGAGAAUAAGCUCCGGCUAACUCCGUG